AUUGAACGCUGGCGGCAGGCCUAACACAUGCAAGUCGAGCGGAUGAGAGGAGCUUGCUUCUCGAUUCAGCGGCGGACGGGUGAGUAAUGCCUAGGAAUCUGCCUGGUAGUGGGGGACGACGCUUCGAAAGGAACGCUAAUACCGCAUACGUCCUACGGCAGACAGCAGGGGACCUUCUGGCCCUGCGCGAUCAGAUGAGCCUAGGUCGGAUUAGCUAGUUGGUGAGGUAAUGGCUCACCAAGGCGACAAUCCGUAACUGGUCUGAGAGGAUGAUCAGUCACACUGGAACUGAGACACGGUCCAGACUCCUACGGGAGGCAGCAGUGGGGAAUAUUGGACAAUGGGCGAAAGCCUGAUCCAGCCAUGCCGCGUGUGUGAAGAAGGUCUUCGGAUUGUAAAGCACUUUAAGUUGGGAGGGAGGGUUGUAGAUUAAUACUCUGCAAUUUUGACGUUACCGACAGAAUACGCACCGGCUAACUCUGUGCCAGCCGCCGCCGUAAAAC
rnacentral:rRNA from 1 species